AUUGAACGCUGGCGGCAUGCCUUACACAUGCAAGUCGAACGGCAGCGGGGGAGAAGCUUGCUUUUCCUGCCGGCGAGUGGCGAGCGGGUGAGUAAUACAUCGGAACGUGCCCUGUAGUGGGGGAUAACUAGUCGAAAGAUUAGCUAAUACCGCAUACGACCUGAGGGUGAAAGUGGGGGACCGCAAGGCCUCAUGCUAUAGGAGCGGCCGAUGUCUGGUUAGCUAGUUGGUGGGGUAAAGGCCUACCAAGGCGACGAUCAGUAGCUGGUCUGAGAGGACGAGCAGCCACACUGGGACUGGGACACGGCCCAGACUCCUACGGGAGGCAGCAGUGGGGAAUUUUGGACAAUGGGCGAAAGCCUGAUCCAGCAAUGCCGCGUGUGUGAAGAAGGCCUUCGGGUUGUAAAGCACUUUUGUCCGGAAAGAAAUGGCUCUGGUUAAUACCUGGGGUCGAUGACGGUACCGGAAGAAUAAGGACCGGCUAACUACGUGCCAGCCGCCGCAGUAA
rnacentral:rRNA from 1 species